rnacentral:lncRNA from 1 species
UCCAUCUAACCAGCUCCAUAGUGAAGGGUUAGUAGGUUCUUUAUACAUAAUAGAUAUGGCUAACAUCUGUAGACAUACAUUUACUACCUAUGUAGUUGUGUCUAACACAAAUAACUAGAAAUGGAUUUAUUGGCUCAUAAAGUACAUAUUGGCAUUGGGGGGGGGGGGGUCCACCUUGUACUAAUUUUAUAACUCCAUUAGUAAUGCCUGUUUGCCGCACUCCUAUCUGAUGCUCAUCCUGGAGACCCGUUCUUUUUUCCCACUUUUUUGCUGUACCUUUAUUAGUAAGAUGGGAUAUUUUUUGUCUGUUGGCUAUUUUUAUGUCCUUGUCUGGUCUUGCCCAUUUCUUUAUUUCUGAAAGUAUAAAUUACUAAAGUUAACACCAUACAAAACUUAAGAUAGACAAGUGUCAGAGAAGAGACUGUUUUCUUCAGGGCUUCUGGUUGGUUCCACUUUUAAGUGUGCUGUAUAUCCUGGUACAGUAUCUACACAUUUCCAUGUGAAUAUGCAGAAACGUGAACACCUUUCAAAUAAACAGGAUUAUAUAGGAUUUUUAAGAUACCUUUGUCUUAAAUAUUAUGGUAUUUAAAUUCCUGUGAGGUGCAUGGUUAGCUAUUAAGAUGCUCUAGUCAUCAGUGUAAUCUUCAUCAGCUCUGAAAAGUGUCCAUUUCCCCACAUAGCCUUACCUACACUUGAUAGAGGAAAAGGAAACUGUCCUUACCUGCCUUCCCUGAUGAAUCCUGAAGUUGGAGUUCUUUAUUGGUCAUUUACAAUUCCCUGAGGGUUGUUCAUUCAUAGCUUCUGUGCCUUUGUAUUGGGUUAUGUAUGGGUAUCUGUUCUGCACUUCUCCCCUCAUUUAUGGUAACAGUAUCCAUAUUGAUUGUGGAUAACCCAUCCCAUAUGGCUUUGGUGAGCACGUGAGCAGGCCUGGCCUGAGCCACACAGCAUCCUAACCACAGCGCUUAGAGAGUAGGCAUACAGUGUAAAGCAGGCCAGGGAGAGUGCUCAGGAGCCGCAACCACUGGCAAAAAGGCUUUGGAGAUGCUGGAGACCCAAGGACAAUGUGAACCUGCACACUUACCAUAUGGAGAGAAUAACUGAGGAGAAAUUCAGGCCAGCAGGGAUGGUGAGAAAACUUAAGUUCUGAUAUUUUCUGGGGGCCCUAGAUCCAGAUGUGCCUAAAGCCUGCCCUACCUCUGGACUUUAAAGAUUUUUGAGCCAAUGAAGUCCCUUUCUUGUUUAAGAUAAUCACAUUUGGCCUCUGUCCUGAUUAUAUAUAGGGUAUUUGUAUUUUCUUACUGACUUGUAGCAAACCUUUGUAGUUUUAAAAUUAGAGACUUCAUGCAUUAUAUAAGUUAAUAAAAUUAGCAUGGCCUUCUAUGAUUUGGGCUCUGUU